UUGCACGUAGAUGUAAUACUAUUGAAAGUACAUGUAUGAAUUUUCCUAGAAUUUUUUGUGAUAAUUUUUAGUUGGUGUACACGGUAUGUACACGCGAGGGCAUGUGUACAUAGGAUACGCUCCCAAAGUAAACAUGCUAAUGAUAGGAUUAAUUAUUUCUAACACAGAUGCCAUAUACAAACUAAAUUUUACGACAUAAAUGCAAAAUUGAUGUAUAAACCAUCGACAAGCACCAUCGAUAUCCCCUGCAAACCAGCCAAGCAGUCAUCAUGUGCAUGGGAGGGUCCAUUCCAAUAUGAACAUGAUUUCAACACGACAUACUUGUGCUGAGGGUAUUCUGACUGAUUCUCAUGUGUUGUGAUACUUGGAGACAAGAGAGUUCAAGAUUGGUUACCAAGUAGCCAGAGAUGUUACUGAAAUGCAUAAAAAGAAAUAAAGAUUUAUUUCGAAAGAAGAAUUGUAUGUGUAUAACAUAUAGUUGAGAUAUAAAAUCAUAUCUUUUGGCACACCCGUCGAUUAUAAAUAACAGUACAUGUAAGUGACAGCUGCUAUAAAUGUGUCAGAAAUGUAAUUAUUUGAGGGCAAACCAGCAUACAUGAUUUAAGUGGCAGCUCUUAUGGCACGUUUUACUACCGGUAGUAACAAAGCAGUAGAAUUUCAAUGAAAGGGUCUUCUAAAAACUUCAAACUUUGAUGCUAUAAAGAAGAUACAGAUACGAAUCACAACCUCCUAGCUUUAUUCUGAACUCUGACGCACAUAACUUCAGCCAUAUUAAUUGCACUAUAAUCAAUAAAGGUCCAUACCAGACGAAAAAUAUGAAAUAAGUGUGUCCUCCAAAAAAAUAAGAUUUGCUGCUCAAUAUAUACAGUAACCUUGUAUCAUCCAACACUCACUGGCUCAGGCCACCUUACUAUAAUUUUCUGAUCAAACAAAACCAGCAGCUUGUAUGAGCUUGCCUGCUUUAGAAUGAUUUCGUUCAUUGCUUUUGGGCUCCCCUGCAAUAGCCCAGGAUGUACAGAGAUAGGCUUUAGAGGCAUCAGCAAUUAUACAAUUGGCCCUGGAUACUCAGAGAAUCUGACCAGGGUAUAGAGAGCAAUGGCGUCAGGCGUCUAUUGGACGGGAUGAGGAUUUGUACGCUCACUGCUCGGUUCAAUUUGGAGGACCCAAAUGCACUAACAAAUACCAGUAACUCCUACCAUUUAAUAUUAGUUAUGUAACAAUAAUAAUGACAAUAGUUUGCCCUAGUUACAAAAUACCUGAACAACUAUUUUUCAUCCUUGAUGAGCUCAAAACGAAUUCUUCUGCCCAUAGAAAAUAACCCCUUGCAGCUCCGCACAGGUGCAUUUUUUUUCUGAAUCAAAAUGUUUUAUUGUUGAUUAUUCAACAUUGGUUUCUAUUUCUCAAACGAGAUUGGUUUC